GGAUUGUGGCUUAGUGGUAGAGCACUUGCCUAGCAUGUGUGAGGCACUGGGUUCAAUUCUCAGCACCA
rnacentral:tRNA from 1 species